UACGUAGGGUGCGAGCGUUGUCCGGAAUUACUGGGCGUAAAGAGCUCGUAAGUGGUUUGUCGCGUUGUCCGUGAAAACUCACAGCUCAACUGUGGGCGUGCGGGCGAUACGGGCAGACUGGAGUACUGCAGGGGAGACUGGAAUUCCUGGUGUAGCGGUGGAAUGCGCAGAUAUCAGGAGGAACACCGGUGGCGAAGGCGGGUCUCUGGGCAGUAACUGACGCUGAGGAGCGAAAGCGUGGGGAGCGAACAGG
rnacentral:rRNA from 1 species